UAUGCCCUAUCCCUAACCCGCUCUCGUCUCCCUCAGACGCAGCCGGCCGCGGAAUCGAUCUCAUCUCCGAUCUCCCUGCCGCCGACUCUUCGUAGCCGCCACCCACGUACGAGUUCGUACGUUACCGCCGUCGUCGUCCUAAGGUAGACGCCGCGGCCGCGUCUCCAGGGCAGGGCGGCUUGAAUCCCUGUCGCCAGGAUCGCCCCCGCCGACGUCCGAGGGGGAGACGACACCGCCGCGGUGAUGACCCGCCCAGCUGGCGCAUCGCCGUUGUCCGUCGUCCUGCACUAAGCUUGACGUCGCCCGCCUCCGUCCUCCCCAUUCUCAAAUACUCCUUUCUCAGGCGACGCUGUUGCCGGGGCAGCGAGAUUCCUUUGGUUUUGUUGUUCAGAGACUGCAAAAUUUGGGGAGAAUGAGUUUGUGUGUUCCACAAGCAUCAAGGUUCUUCAGUACAAUGCUCAAGGGGUGGGCAACAAAUCGUCUUUCACUUGCAUCUCGUCAGUCGGUAAAUCUGCAGUUUUUGAAUGAGAAUACCCUAAAUUUAGAGGACAACUUCGCAAUGGCAAUCCGUUGUGGGACCUUAUUGAAGGACGGGAGGAAAAUGAAUUAUUGCACUAUACAAAAUUGUUAACCGGUUACAUCGGCUAUGGUUCCUUCCUUUUUAGAAUAGAAUUGCCGACAGAUGAUCACUCAAUCAUGUUCUUAUAUAUGGUAACCUUUUCUCACCAUCCAUUAUCCGUGCGGUUAUUCCUUUUGUACAAAAAUCUUACCAUUAGGGAAUACUGUUCACAACUGCUCUGCUAUUUGUGACUCGGUUCUAGGCGAUGAAGGCAAACUAUCUGUUUAUUAGGAUUUAAUAUUUGUUUACCAAGUGAAAGUAAUGAACCCAUUUCAACAUACUAAGUGUAUCUUUAUGAGAUCAAAUGCUUGGAAUUACGAGUAUGGUUUCAGCAUGUUUACAGAAAAAUGCAUUGUUUUACUCUACUCAUCCGUUAUUGACGACUUCUAUAAGGCCAUGUAUUUUGUUGAUAUUACUUCGAGGGUAACCUAUGGAUGAUGAUCGAGAAUCAGUUCUAAAUUCAAAUCAAGUGCAACUUUUCUCUGUAUUAGUACUGAAACCAUGAUAAUAUUCUCAGUGUAUGAUCCUACAAAUAAACCAUUGCAUUUCUCAUUCUUAGCAACAUUUGUAGAUCCUUAGCAACUCUUGCACAGUUACUGCAUCAUCAUGCAAGGUACUGUUUUGUAUUGGAUUUUGUUUCUCAUGCUUGCUAAAAAUUUCAUUCAUGUAUUUGAUUUCCUUUUCACUAUUAGAUGUUGAGAGCCUAAAGAAUGCACUAGAAUAGCGAUGUGAUGCUCACGGAAGAGGAGGUCAAGGAGGUAGAUGCGCUGAUAAUGCAUUGAUACAUGUAUGAUAUGUUCUCGCAAAAAGUUAGUGUAACAAAAAUCUCACACCAAGAUUUAAUUUUGGCAACUUAUUUUAUUGCCUGUAGCAGUGCAAAGACUUUUUGUUUCAGAAAUCAGUAGUAGUAUUUGAUUUGAUUUAAGUCUCAGUUCACGCAGGGGUGCGCAGCAAAUCGUCUUUCACUUGCAUCUCGUCAGUCGGUAAAUCUGCAGUUUUUGAAUGAGAAUACCCUAAAUUUAGAGGACAACUUCGCAAUGGCAAUCAGUUGUGGGACCUUAUUGAAGGACGGGAGGAAAAUGAAUUAUUGCACUAUACAAAAUUGUUAACCGGUAUUUGACCAUUACGACUUCUUCCCAUCCUUCAUAUAUCAAAGAAAAAACAAGUCAAUUUGUCUUCACUCUUCACUGGUAUUUCAUUGUGAUGGCAGGCCCUUAAUCAUCAUCUCCUUUUAAUUCAAACAUAAUGCUUUAUAUGCAAAGAAGCAUGCUAUUUGCUUAUUUUUCUCGAAUGUUUUGUUAAGUGACAUGCUAUUUAUUGUAUUCAGGUUACAUCGACUAUGGUUCCUUCCUUUUUAAAAUAGUGCUAUAAAUCGUCGACAUAUGAUCAAUCAGUCAUGUUCUUAUAUAUGGUAACCUUUUCUCACCAUGCAUUAUCCGUGCGGUUAUUUCUUUUGUACAAAAAUCUUACCAUUAGAGAAUACUAUUCACAACUGCUGCUGUUUGUGACUCGGUUCUAGGGGAUGAAAGCAAACUACCUGUUUAUUAGGAUUUAGUAUUUGUUUACCAAUAGAAAGUAAUGAACCCAUUUCAUCUUACUGAGUGUAUCUUUAUGAGAUCAAAUGGUUGUAAUUACAAGUAUGGCUUUCUCAACAUGUUUACAGAAAAAUGCAUUGUUUUACUCUACUCAUCCAUUAUUGACGACUUCUAUAAGGCCAUCUAUUUUGUUGAUAUUACUUCGAGGGAACAGGGUACACUACGGAUGAUGAUCGAGAAUCAGUUCUAAAUUCCAAUCAAGUGUAACUUUUGCCUGUAUUAUUACUGAAACCAUGAUAAUAUUCUCAGUGUAUGAUCCUACAAAUAAACCAUUGCAUUUCUCAUUCCUAGCAACAUUUUUAGAUCCUUAGCAACCCUUGCACUGUUACUGCAUCAUCAUGCAAGGUACUGUUUUGUAUUGGAUUUUGUUUCUCAUGCUUGCUAAAAAAUUCAUUCAUGUAUUUGUUUUCCUUUAAACUAUUAGAUGUUGAGAGCCUAAAGAAUGCACUAGAACUAUUAGAUGUUUUCCUUUUCACUAUUAGAUGUUGAGAGCCUAAAGUCAUCUGAUGGCUUUCAAGAGAGUGCAUUCGGCGGAGCAGGUGGCAUCCUAUUCCUCUCCUUAGAUGUCAUUGUCUAUUCUCGUGCGACCCUGACUACUCCGCGAUCUCCCGCCUGUGAUCCACCUGUGCAAGCAAAUUUUAUGCCAAGGAUAUCUCUUUAUUCUUGCGGCCAAGGCGGAAGAAGCCCUGGAUGCAAAUGGAGAGCCUCCUCUGCCAUCUCAGCAUCAGCCGUAGGACGACGCUACACCUUAGCGCGGUGGACAGCUCAAAGGCCGCUUCUGAUGAGAUCAUCAAUCUCAAAGAUAUGGACCUCUCGAACGACAAUGCCAUUGUUGUUGUAAAACAUGGUGAUGGUGUUUCAGUUGAAAUAGGAAAGGGCAGUCGACCCGAGGCUACCCUUAUUCAGGUUUCAAUACAGGGCAGUGCCUUUAUCGAUGGAAGCCGUAUCCUCUGACAUAAGUAACUUAUUCCUCCUUAUUUAUAUCUUAUAUCUUCAACUGCAAUGACAUCAAAACAGUGUCAGGAUUAUAGACAUGUAUCGUCAUUCGAAUA